ACGGAAGUUUAAGCAAUUAAACUUUAGUGGCGAACGGGUGAGUAACGCGUAAGCAAUCUGCCCCUAAGACGAGGAUAACAGUUGGAAACGACUGCUAAGACUGGAUAGGAGACAAGAAGGCAUCUUCUUGUUUUUAAAAGACCUAGCAAUAGGUAUGCUUAGGGAGGAGCUUGCGUCACAUUAGUUAGUUGGUGGGGUAAAGGCCUACCAAGACUAUGAUGUGUAGCCGGGCUGAGAGGUUGAACGGCCACAUUGGGACUGAGACACGGCCCAAACUCCUACGGGAGGCAGCAGUAGGGAAUUUUCGGCAAUGGAGGAAACUCUGACCGAGCAACGCCGCGUGAACGAUGAAGUAUUUCGGUACGUAAAGUUCUUUUAUUAGGGAAGAAUAAAUGAUGGAAAAAUCAUUCUGACGGUACCUAAUGAAUAAGCCCCGGCUAACUAUGUGCCAGCAGCCGCGGUAAUACAUAGGGGGCAAGCGUUAUCCGGAAUUAUUGGGCGUAAAGGGUGCGUAGGCGGUUAAAUAAGUUUAUGGUCUAAGUGCAAUGCUCAACAUUGUGAUGCUAUAAAAACUGUUUAGCUAGAGUAAGAUAGAGGCAAGUGGAAUUCCAUGUGUAGUGGUAAAAUGCGUAAAUAUAUGGAGGAACACCAGUAGCGAAGGCGGCUUGCUGGGUCUUUACUGACGCUGAGGCACGAAAGCGUGGGGAGCAAACAGGAUUAGAUACCCUGGUAGUCCACGCCGUAAACGAUGAGUACUAAACGUUGGGUAAAACCAGUGUUGAAGUUAACACAUUAAGUACUCCGCCUGAGUAGUACGUACGCAAGUAUGAAACUUAAAGGAAUUGACGGGACUCCGCACAAGCGGUGGAUCAUGUUGUUUAAUUCGAAGGUACCCGAAAAACCUCACCAGGUCUUGACAUGCUUCUGCAAAGCUGUAGAAACACAGUGGAGGUUAUCAGUUGCACAGGUGGUGCAUGGUUGUCGUCAGCUCGUGUCGUGAGAUGUUGGGUUAAGUCCCGCAACGAGCGCAACCCUUAUUGUUAGUUACCAGCACGUAAUGGUGGGGACUUUAGCAAGACUGCCAGUGAUAAAUUGGAGGAAGGUGGGGACGACGUCAAAUCAUCAUGCCCCUUAUGACCUGGGCUACAAACGUGAUACAAUGGCUGUUACAAAGGGUAGCUGAAGCGCAAGUUUUUGGCGAAUCUCAAAAAAACAGUCUCAGUUCGGAUUGAAGUCUGCAACUCGACUUCAUGAAGUUGGAAUCGCUAGUAAUCGCGAAUCAGCAUGUCGCGGUGAAUACGUUCUCGGGGUUUGUACACACCGCCCGUCAAACCACGAAAGUUGGCAAUACCCAAAGCCGGUGGCCUAACUUCGCAAGAAGAGGGAACCGUCUAAGGUAGGGUCGAUGAUUGGGGUUAAG
rnacentral:rRNA from 1 species